CCUACGGGUGGCAGCAGUUAGGAAUAUUGGUCAAUGGACGAGAGUCUGAACCAGCCAAGUAGCGUGAAGGAUGACUGCCCUAUGGGUUGUAAACUUCUUUUAUAUGGGAAUAAAAUGCUCCACGUGUGGGCUUUUGUAUGUACCAUAUGAAUAAGGAUCGGCUAACUCCGUGCCAGCAGCCGCGGUAAUACGGAGGGUCCGAGCGUUAUCCGGAUUUAUUGGGUUUAAAGGGAGCGUAGGUGGGUUGUUAAGUCAGUUGUGAAAGUUUGCGGCUCAACCGUAAAAUUGCAGUUGAAACUGGCAGUCUUGAGUACAGUAGAGGUAGGCGGAAUUCGUGGUGUAGCGGUGAAAUGCUUAGAUAUCACGAAGAACACCGAUUGCGAAGGCAGCUCACUGGACUGCAACUGACACUGAGGCUCGAAAGUGUGGGUAUCAAACAGGAUUAGAUACCCUAGUAGUC
rnacentral:rRNA from 1 species